GGUCACUGCUAUCGGUGUUCGACUAAGCCAUGCGAGUCAAAUGUUCUUCGUGAACAUGGCGUACUGCUCAGUAACACGUGGAUAACCUGCCCUUAGGUCCGGCAUAACCCCGGGAAACUGGGGAUAAUUCCGGAUAGAUCAUAGAUGCUGGAAUGCCCUGUGAUCCAAAGCUUUUGUGCCUAAGGAUGGGUCUGCGGUCUAUCAGGUUGUAGUGGGUGUAAUGUACCUACUAGCCUACGACGGAUACGGGUUGUGGGAGCAAGAGCCCGGAGAUGGAUUCUGAGACAUGAAUCCAGGCCCUACGGGGCGCAGCAGGCGCGAAAACUUUACAAUGCGGGAAACCGCGAUAAGGGGACACCGAGUGCCAGCAUCCUAUGUUGGCUGUCCGCAUGUAUAAAUCACAUGUGUUAGCAAGGGCCGGGCAAGACCGGUGCCAGCCGCCGCGGUAACACCGGCGGCCCGAGUGGUGGCCACUAUUAUUGGGUCUAAAGGGUCCGUAGCCGGUUUGGUCAGUCUUCCGGGAAAUCUGACGGCUCAACCGUUAGGCUUUCGGGGGAUACUGCCAGGCUUGGGACCGGGAGAGGUAAGAGGUACUACGGGGGUAGGAGUGAAAUCUUGUAAUCCCCGUGGGACCACCAGUGGCGAAGGCGUCUUACCAGAACGGGUCCGACGGUGAGGGACGAAAGCUGGGGGCACGAACCGGAUUAGAUACCCGGGUAGUCCCAGCUGUAAACUAUGCUCGCUAGGUGUCAGGGACGGUGCGACCGUUUCUGGUGCCGCAGGGAAGCCGUGAAGCGAGCCACCUGGGAAGUACGGUCGCAAGGCUGAAACUUAA
rnacentral:rRNA from 1 species